rnacentral:rRNA from 1 species
UACGGAGGGUGCAAACGUUGCUCGGAAUUAUUGGGCGUAAAGCGCACGUAGGCGGUCUUUUAAGUCGGAUGUGAAAGCCCCGGGCUCAACCCGGGAAGUGCAUUCGAAACUGGGAGGCUAGAGUACAGAAGAGGGUCUCGGAAUUCCCGGUGUAGAGGUGAAAUUCGUAGAUAUCGGGAGGAACACCAGUGGCGAAGGCGGAGACCUGGGCUGAUACUGACGCUGAGGUGCGAAAGCGUGGGGAGCAAACAGG